rnacentral:tRNA from 2 species
GCGCCGAUGGUUUAGGGUAAAAUUCUCCGUUGCCAUCCAGUGGGGAGCCGGGGGUUCGAUUCCCCCUCGGCGCA